rnacentral:rRNA from 1 species
GCGUUGUUCGGAAUUACUGGGCGUAAAGGGCGCGUAGGCGGUCUGCUAAGUUGGAUGUGAAAACUCUGGGCUUAACCCAGAGCCUGCAUUCAAUACUGACAGGCUAGAGUUCUGGAGGGGAUAGCGGAAUUCCUGGUGUAGCGGUGAAAUGCGUAGAUAUCAGGAGGAACACCGGUGGCGAAGGCGGCUAUCUGGACAGAGUCUGACGCCGAGGCGCGAAAGCUAGGGGAGCAAACAGG